UACGAACUGUGCGAACGUUAUUCGGAAUCACUGGGCUUACAGGGUGCGUAGGCGGCUUGCUAAGUAGGGUGUGAAAUCCCCCGGCUCAACCGGGGAAUGGCGCCCUAAACUGGCGAGCUAGAGUGAGAUAGGGGUGUGUGGAACUUCCGGUGGAGCGGUGAAAUGUGUUGAUAUCGGAAGGAACGCCGGUGGCGAAAGCGACACACUGGAUCUUGUCUGACGCUGAGGCACGAAAGCCAGGGGAGCGAACGGG
rnacentral:rRNA from 1 species